GCCAGGUGUGGUGGCGCAUGCCUGUAAUCCCAGCUACUUGGGAAGCUGAGGCAGGAGAAUUGCUUGAACCUGGGAGGCUGAGGUUGCAGUGAGCCGAGAUGGCACCACUGUACUCCAGCCUGGGUGACAGAGCAAGACUCUGUCUCAA
ensembl:misc_RNA Metazoa_SRP Metazoan signal recognition particle RNA